rnacentral:rRNA from 1 species
GAUGAACGCUGGCGGCGUGCUUAACACAUGCCAGUCGAACGGAAAGGCUCCUGCUUGCCGGGGUACUCGAGUGGCGAACGGGUGAGUAACACGUGGGUGAUCUGCCCUGCACUUCGGGAUAAGCCUGGGAAACUGGGUCUAGUACCGGAUAGGACCACAUUUUGGAUGGUGUGGUGGAAAGUUUUUCGGUGUGGGAUGAGCUCGCGGCCUAUCAGCUUGUUGGUGGGGUAAUGGCCUACCAAGGCGUCGACGGGUAGCCGGCCUGAGAGGGUGUACGGCCACAUUGGGACUGAGAUACGGCCCAGACUCCUACGGGAGGCAGCAGUGGGGAAUAUUGCACAAUGGGCGCAAGCCUGAUGCAGCGACGCCGCGUGGGGGAUGACGGCCUUCGGGUUGUAAACUCCUUUCGCUAGGGACGAAGCGUUUUUGUGACGGUACCUGGAGAAGAAGCACCGGCUAACUACGUG